GAACUCAACUAGGAGAUGAAGAAAAACCCUCAGAAACCUCAAGGCCAAGAGGACGUGGUGGAGGCCAACUUGGGGGUUGCAGGACAUCACCCACCUACCCACGAGAUGAUCUAUUAAUAGCUCAGUGGUUCUCACACCUGGGCAGGCAUUGGCAUUACCUGAAGCUGAGAUGAAACCCAAAUGGCUGAGUCCCGCACCCACAGUGUCUGAUUCAGCGAGUCUGGGGCGGGGCCUGACUGAAUUUCCUGCAAUACAGGUGCUGGCUCUAACGAGAAGUAUCAUCCCGAGUGCAUCACCAUCACUUCUCACCUCCAUGGCCUCUCAUUAUGCACUCUCUGCCUCUACUCUUGCCUUCCUGGAGCCGUUCUCCAGCCGUUAGCCAAAUGGGUCUUUUCAAAGGUUCCCUGUGCUCCAGCCCCUCAUCACCUGGGAUGGGGUUGUCUGCACCGCUGUCCUUGUGCCUGAUGUCCCCACACGCUCGCUCCUCCUCCACCUUCCGGGCUGCUUAUGGAUUAGUGCUUUGGGCAGCUGCACAGAUAACCCACCUUUUGAUCUGGGUCCGCUU
rnacentral:lncRNA from 10 species